UGGGGAAUAUUGCACAAUGGAGGAAACUCUGAUGCAGCGACGCCGCGUGAGGGAAGAAGGUUUUCGGAUUGUAAACCUCUGUCUUUGGGGACGAUAAUGACGGUACCCAAAGAGGAAGCCACGGCUAACUACGUGCCAGCAGCCGCGGUAAUACGUAGGUGGCAAGCGUUGUCCGGAAUUACUGGGUGUAAAGGGAGCGUAGGCGGGAAAGUAAGUUAAAUGUGAAAUCUAUCGGCUCAACCGAUAAGCUGCGUUUAAAACUACUUUUCUUGAGUGAAGUAGAGGUAGGCGGAAUUCCUAGUGUAGCGGUGAAAUGCGUAGAUAUUAGGAGGAACACCAGUGGCGAAGGCGGCCUACUGGGCUUUAACUGACGCUGAGGCUCGAAAGCGUGGGUAGCAAACA
rnacentral:rRNA from 1 species